UGCUGGAACUUAACUGACGNUAAUGCGUGAAAGCGUGGGGAGCAAACAGGAUUAGAUACCCUGGUAGUCCACGCCCUAAACGAUGUAUACCGGUUGUUGCUGUGCUAGUCACGGCAGUAAUCCACCUAACGGAUUAAGUAUACCGCCUGGGGAGUACGGUCGCAAGAUUAAAACUCAAAGGAAUAGACGGGGACCCGCACAAGCGGUGGAGCAUGUGGUUUAAUUCGAAGAUACGCGAAGAACCUCACCCGGACUUGAUAUCUAACAAAUCAUCCAGAGAUGGAAGAGUGUCUGCUUGCAGAAAUGUUAAGACAGGUGCUGCACGGCUGUCGUCAGCUCGUGUCGUGAGAUGUUGGGUUAAGUCCCGCAACGAGCGCAACCCACGUCAUUAGUUGCUAACGGUUCGGCCGAGCACUCUAAUGAGACUGCCUUCGUAAGGAGGAGGAAGGUGUGGACGACGUCAAGUCAUCAUGGCCCUUAUGUCCGGGGCGACACACGUGCUACAAUGGCAUAUACAAUAAGACGCAAUAUCGCGAGAUGGAGCAAAUCUAAAAAAUAUGUCCCAGUUCGGAUUGGAGUCUGCAACUCGACUCCAUGAAGCCGGAAUCGCUAGUAAUCGUAGAUCAGCCAUGCUACGGUGAAUACGUUCCCGGGUCUUGUACUCACCGCCCGUCACACCAUGGGAGUUGAU
rnacentral:rRNA from 1 species